CGCCGGCGCGACGCGCGCUCAAAGCAGGCGGCGGGGGAGGGGCCGGACUUGUGCGGGCUCCGGCCCCGCCCCCCUCUGGGAAGUGCGCAGGCAGCUGCCGCCAGUCCCGCUCACGCGCGCCUCGGGGCGGGGCCUGAGGCAGAGCGAUUCCCGCCCCCGCCCGGCGGAUGCCUCCCCGCGCUGCCCUGUCCGGGCCUCCGCGCCCCUGGCCGGAGCCGCGUACAACGUGCGGGUGUUGUGCCGUUAUCUCGAAGCGCCUCCACAAGCCUUGGGCUCCGUCUGCAGAACAAAGUUUUCCUGGAAUAGCUACUUCAGCAAGGGGGGGACCAGUCUGUUCCCAGAAGGCAGAUACUAGCAGAGCUUCUGUUGAUCAGGGAGCUGGUGUAACUGGUAGCAGAAAAACUUCUGCACAAUACUUUAUACUUAUACUGGAGGUUUUUGCCCGUGUUAAAGCAGCAGCAGCUCUGUAAUAUAGUCAAGACCUUGCUUCUCAUUGUGAACGACCACUGUAUUUUCAUUUCCCGUAUCUGUUUAUAUCACUGGGUCAAAAGAGAAUGCCUUUUGUUACGCUAAAGGAACAAACAAUUAUCUGCAUUUGUAAGAAAAUCUGAUGGAAAUGAUAAAAUACAUAAUUACAUUUAGCUUUUUUAAAACUGGAGAGAAAACCGUUUAACAAGCUGGUUCAAAGAGAAGACCAUCACUUUUAGAAGAUCAAAGACUUGACUUUGUUUCACAUCUGUCAUGUGUUGAAGGAUUUAGAGUAUCUGUAAUCAUAACAGCAUGUGUAUUUCCAAACCAAUUUCUGCCAGUCACAGAAAAAUCCUGCCCUCACCCAAAAUUUGAUUUGAUUUGAGAUGCAGAAUAAACACAGAUGUGCUCUCACUCUCCCCACA